GUUUUUGGUGUUCAGUCCGUUCUGACCGUCGGCGCGUUGCUUCUAGUUCAUAGUGCUUUUUCUGCUCGGAGCUACUACAGAAAAAUCGGCCAGCCUUCUAACCUCCCGAGCGAACUGGUCUUCGAAGUGCUAUGCUCUCUACUCGUCUGCAUCGUUUGCAUUAUAUCGAUCAUAGAUGAACCUCAGCCAGCCAAGUUGGCCAAAAUCGCCGCAUCUAAAAGUUGGGACGCCGUCCUAUCUAGACCAAAUUUCUCUACGUUCUAUCGCGGAAUGUCUUCCCAUUCGUCAUCGCACCAAAGCGACCAUUAAACCGCUAGCACAUUCUCCUCUCUUCCAAAGGCCUUCGCCAAUUCGCAAGACCUAUCUCUCAUGUCGAGUGAGACAAUCUAAUUGACCUGUGG